GACGAACGCUGGCGGCGUGCUUAACACAUGCGAGUCGAACGGAAAGGCCCUGCUUUUGUGGGGUGCUCGAGUGGCGAACGGGUGAGUAACACGUGAGUAACCUGCCCUUGACUUUGGGAUAACUUCAGGAAACUGGGGCUAAUACCGGAUAGGAGCUCCUGCUGCAUGGUGGGGGUUGGAAAGUUUCGGCGGUUGGGGAUGGACUCGCGGCUUAUCAGCUUGUUGGUGGGGUAGUGGCUUACCAAGGCUUUGACGGGUAGCCGGCCUGGGAGGGUGACCGGCCCCAUUGGGACUGAGAUACGGCCCAGACUCCUACGGGAGGCAGCAGUGGGGAAUAUUGCAUAAUGGGCGGAAGCCUGAUGCAGCAACGCCGCGUGCGGGAUGACGGCCUUCGGGUUGUAAACCGCUUUCGCCUGUGACGAAGCGUGAGUGACGGUAAUGGGUAAAGAAGCACCGGCUAACUACGUG
rnacentral:rRNA from 1 species